GUCAUUCUGAAGUACUUUAUUAUAAUUCAGGAUGCACAAAUAUCCCCAUGAUAAUUAAGGUCACCUAUUAACAACCUGACACUGAAAAUACAAAUAAUUACAAAAACUGCCACUGAAAGCACUCACUUCAAGACGCUAGGCCUCUCCAAUUUCACAUUCGACAGUUGCAGUUUGCAAUUUCGUCCCCUCCGAUCUCGUUUCCGCCGCCGCCUCCAGUUGGUCCUCCCUCCACAAGCAAUUAGUUCAUUUUGGCUGCAAUUGAUGGUGUGUUUUGGCCUCCUCCACUCCGGCGUCCUCUUCGAGAAUUCCGAUUUCGUUCGAGCUCGGACCCGAUGACAAUUACCGCCUCCAAUCAGAGCCCUCCUCCAGCCAAAUUCACCAACCACUGCCGCUAGCUUCCGAUUGACUUUGGCGUUUUACCAUGGCUGUGUUCUUUUUGGCGAUCGACUGCUCUUCUCUCUUCGCAUCUUGAAGCUUUUCACCAAAACCAGAAGCAGGUUAUUAGCAAGCUUGAACGCCGCACUGUUGCCUACCAUGAGUCAGGGCAUGCAUUGUUGGUGGACUAACUGGCUUCCAUCUGUACUUUAUAGGUACCAAUCAGGUCAGACAUCUUCUUGGUGACAUUCCUCGAAUCAAGAGAUAGACUUGGUGGCCGGUUUCAUACUGAUUACUCAUUUGGUUGUCCAGUAGAUAUGGGAGCAUCAUGUGUGCAGUGAAGCAAGAGCACAACCCAAUUCCCUAAAAGCAAGAACAUGGAAGCUUUUAAAGAGCUUGUCUCCACCUGUAAUGGCUGCAGCUCUGCUCUUAUCUCCAAUCUUCAUUACUCCUGAUAAUCACACUCUUGCUGGGUUUAGCUUUGUUCAGUAUGUAAUACUUGUUUCAGUUUCAAUUUGAUGAAUGUUUAGUUGUAGACAAAUAAAAUUGUGCUUGUUGCUUUAGUGGGUAAAUUUGUAUUUUAGCAUCAGAACCUUUUUUGGAUUAGAUUUUCAGUUGAAGCUCGAGUUUCUGUGCUUUGAGGGUGUCAUUUUUUGCUUCAUAAUCAAAUUGGUGAAAAUCCCUCCCCUAUUACUAUUGCUAUCAUAUGUUAGGAGUUGCUUCCAGUUUUCAGGUAUCGCAAAUGAAUGGAAAGAAUUGGAUAUUUUGAGCCACUUUUGUGUGGGUGAUUUUCAUCUUGAUUGAUAAAUACUAUUGUUAUACACAUUGCAUGUCACUGUCAUACACGUCACUAACCAAUUAUUAACCAAGUCACAUUGCAUGUCACUGUUAUACACGUCACUGACCAAGUCACUGGCUAGUGAAGUCAUUGGCCAGCUCAAGCGCCUAGUUACUGUUAACCUCAUCAAGUCAUACGAAAAGUCACUUAUUAUGUCACUGUCAAUCACUAGUAAAGUCACUGUUAACUACAAGUUACUGGCAAAGUUAUUGACUAUGUCAUUGUCAAUCCCUGGCCAAGUCACU